GUUAGGAAUAUUGGACAAUGGGCGCAAGCCUGAUCUAGCCAUGCCGCGUGAGCGAUGAAGGCCUUAGGGUUGUAAAGCUCUUUCGUGGGGGAAGAUAAUGACUGUACCCCAAGAAGAAGCCCCGGCUAACUCCGUGCCAGCAGCCGCGGUAAUACGGAGGGGGCUAGCGUUGUUCGGAAUUACUGGGCGUAAAGCGCACGUAGGCGGACCAGAAAGUCAGAGGUGAAAGCCCGGGGCUCAACCCCGGAACUGCCUUUGAAACUCCUGGUCUUGAGGUCGAGAGAGGUGGGUGGAAUUCCGAGUGUAGAGGUGAAAUUCGUAGAUAUUCGGAGGAACACCAGUGGCGAAGGCGGCCCACUGGCUCGAUACUGACGCUGAGGUGCGAAAGCGUGGGGAGCAAACAGGAUUAGAUACCCUAGUAGUCC
rnacentral:rRNA from 1 species